rnacentral:rRNA from 1 species
AUGGUUAAGUUAGAAAGGGCGCACGGUGGAUGCCUUGGCACUAGGAGCCGAAGAAGGACGGGACUAACACCGAUAUGCUUUGGGGAGCUGUACGUAAGCGUUGAUCCAGAGAUUUCCGAAUGGGGGAACCCACUAUCUUUAGUCGGAUAGUAUCCUUACGUGAAUACAUAGCGUAAGGAAGGCAGACCCAGGGAACUGAAACAUCUAAGUACCUGGAGGAAGAGAAAGAAAAAUCGAUUUCCUGAGUAGCGGCGAGCGAAACGGAAAGAGCCCAAACCAAGAAGCUUGCUUCUUGGGGUUGUAGGACACUCUAUACGGAGUUACAAAGGAAUGUGGUAAACGAAGUGGUCUGGAAAGGCCCGCCAAAGAAGGUAACAGCCCUGUAAUUGAAAGCAUAUUCCCUCCAGAGUGGAUCCUGAGUACGGCGGAACACGUGAAAUUCCGUCGGAAUCCGGGAGGACCAUCUCCCAAGGCUAAAUACUCCCUAGUGACCGAUAGUGAACCAGUACCGUGAGGGAAAGGUGAAAAGCACCCCGGAAGGGGAGUGAAACAGUUCCUGAAACCGUGUGCCUACAAGUAGUUAGAGCCCGUUAAUGGGUGAUAGCGUGCCUUUUGUAGAAUGAACCGGCGAGUUACGAUUUGUUGCAAGGUUAAGCGGAAAAAGCGGAGCCGUAGCGAAAGCGAGUCUGAAUAGGGCGCAUGAGUAACAGGUCGUAGACCCGAAACCAGGUGAUCUACCCAUGUCCAGGAUGAAGGUGAGGUAAUACUCACUGGAGGUCCGAACCCACGCACGUUGAAAAGUGCGGGGAUGAGGUGUGGGUAGCGGAGAAAUUCCAAUCGAACCUGGAGAUAGCUGGUUCUCUCCGAAAUAGCUUUAGGGCUAGCCUCGAGGUAAAGAGUCGUGGAGGUAGAGCACUGUUUGGACUAGGGGCCCUUCUCGGGUUACCGAAUUCAGAUAAACUCCGAAUGCCAUGUACUUAUACUCGGGAGUCAGACUGCGAGUGAUAAGAUCCGUAGUCGAAAGGGAAACAGCCCAGACCACCAGUUAAGGUCCCAAAAUAUAUGUUAAGUGGAAAAGGAUGUGGGGUUGCAUAGACAACCAGGAUGUUGGCUUAGAAGCAGCCACCAUUGAAAGAGUGCGUAAUAGCUCACUGGUCGAGUGACCCCGCGCCGAAAAUGUACCGGGGCUAAACAUAUUACCGAAACUGUGGAUGAACCUCUUUGGAGGUUCGUGGUAGGAGAGCGUUCUAAGGGCGGUGAAGUCAGACCGGAAGGACUGGUGGAGCGCUUAGAAGUGAGAAUGCCGGUAUGAGUAGCGAAAGAAGGGUGAGAAUCCCUUCCACCGAAUAUCUAAGGUUUCCUGAGGAAGGCUCGUCCGCUCAGGGUUAGUCGGGACCUAAGCUGAGGCCGAUAGGCGUAGGCGAUGGACAACAGGUAGAUAUUCCUGUACCAGUGC